rnacentral:tRNA from 1 species
GGGGAUUUAGCUCAGUGGUAGAGCGCUUGCCUAGCAGGUGCAAGGCCCUGGGUUCGAUCCCCAGCUCCG